GAUCCUGGCUCAGGAUGAACGCUGGCGGCGUGCUUAACACAUGCAAGUCGAACGAAGCACUUUAUUUGAUUUCCUUCGGGACUGAUUAUUUUGUUGACUGAGUGGCGGACGGGUGGAGUAACGCGUGGGUAACCUGCCUUGUACAGGGGGAGUAACAGUUGGAAACGGCUGCUAAUACCGCAUAAGCGCACAGCAUCGCAUGAUGCAGUGUGAAAAACUACCGGUGGUAUAAGAUGGACCCGCG
rnacentral:rRNA from 1 species